ensembl:lncRNA
GUUAGGGUUAGGGUUAGGGUUAGGGUUAGGGUUAGGGUUAGUGUUUUCUUUAGGGUUAGGGUUAGGUUAGGGUAAGGUUUUGGGUGGGGGUUAGAUUUAGGGUUAGGAUUAAUGUUAGGUUUAGGGUUAGGGUUAGGUUUAUGGUUAGGGUUAGAUUUAGGGUUAGGAUUAAUGUUAGGGUUAGGGUUAGGGUUAGGAUUAUUGUUAGGGUUAGUGGUAGGGCAGGGUUAGGGUUAGGGUUAGGGUUGGGUUUGGGUUAGGAUAAGGGUUUGGGUUAUGGUUAGCAUUCGGGUUAGGGUUCGGUUUAUGUUUAGGGUUAGGGUUAGUGCUAGGGUUAGGAGUUAGGGAUAGGGUUAGGGUUACCUUUAGGGUUAGGUUUAGCUUAAGGGUUUGGGUUCAGGUGCGGGUGAGGGUUAUGGUUAGGGUUAGGGUUAGGAUUAGGUUUAGGGUUAGGGUUACCUUUAGGGUUACCUUUAGGGUUAGGUUUAGCUUAAGGGUUUGGGUCCGGGUGCGGGUGAGGGUUUGGGUUAGGGUUAGGAUUAGGUUUAGGGUUAGGGUUAUGGUUAGGGUUAGGCACAGGUUUAGGGUUAGGUUAGGGUUAGGGUUAGACACAGGGUUAGGGUUACGGUUAGGGUUAGGGUUUGGGCUAGGGUUAGGUUUAGGGUAAGGUUUAGGGUUAGGGUUAUGGUUAGGCUUAGGUUAGGGUAAGGGAUUGGGUUACGGUUAGGGUUCGGGUUAUGGUUAGCGUUAGGAUUAAUGUUAGGAUUUGGUUAGGGUUAGGGUUAGGGUUAGGGUUAGUGUUAGGGUUAGGAUUAGGGUUAGGGUUCGGGUUAGGGUUUGGGUUAGGUUUAGUGUUUGGGUUAGGUUUAGGGUUUGAGUUUGGGUUAGGGUUAGGGUAACGUUUAGGGUUAGUGCUUGGGUUAGGAACAGUCUCAGAUUUAGGGUUAGGGUUAGGGUUAGGGUUAGUUUCAGAGUUAGGGUUAGGGUUAGAGUUAGUUUCAGAGUUAGGGUUAGGGUUAGGUUUAGCAUUAUGUUUAGGGUGAGGGUUUGUGUUAGGGUUAGGGGUAGCUUUAGGUUUUGGGUAAGUUUAGGGUAAGGGUUUUGUUAUGUGUUAGAUUUAGUUUAGGAUUAAUGUUUGGGUUUGGGUUAGUGUUAGGGUUGGGGUUAGGGUUAGAGUUAGGGUUAGGGUUAGGUUUAGGAUUAUGAUUAGUGUUUUGGUAAGUGUUAGGAUUAGGGUUAGGAUUAAUGUUAGGGUUCGUGUCAGGGUUAGCUUUAGGGUUAGGUGUAGGAUUUUGGUUAGGGUUAGGGUUAGAGUUAGGGCAAGGGUUAUGAGUUAGGGUUAGUGUUAGUGUUAGGUUAGGGUUUGGGUUAGGUUAAGUGUUAGGGUUAGGGUUAGUGUGAAGGUGAGGGUUAGGGUUAGACACAGGUUUAGGAUUUGGGUUAGGUUUAGGGUAGGGUUAAUGUUCGGUUUAGGGUUAGGUUAGGGUUCCGGUUAGGGUUAGUGUUACGGUUAGGGUUAGGGUUAGGGUUAGAUUAGGGUUAGGGUUAGUGUUAGGGUUAGGGUUAGUGUCAGGGUUACGGUUAGGGUUACGGUUAGGGUUGGGUUUUUGUUUAAGGUUUGGUUUAGGGUUAAGGUUAGGGUCAGGGUAGGGUUAGUGUUAGGUUUACGGUUAGGGUUAGUGUUAAGGUUAGCAUUAUGGUUAGGUUUAGGAUUAGCUUUAAAAUUAGAUUUAGGUUUAGGUUAGGUUUAUUGUUAGGGUUAGAGUGAAGUUAGGGUUAGGGUUAGGGUUAGGGUUUGUUUUAUGGUUAGGAUAUGGUUAUGGUUAGGGUUAGGGUUAGGGUUAGGGUUAGCGUUAGGGUUAGCGUUAGGUUUAGGUUUAGGUUUAGGGUAAAGGAUAGGGUUAGGAUUGAUGGUAGGGUUAUGGUAGGGUUAGGGCUAGCGUUUGGGUUAGGGUUAGGUUCAGGUUUUUGAUUAUGGUUCAUUUUUUUUAGGGUUAGAUUUAGGUUUAGGGUUAGGAUUCGGGUUUGGUUUAGGGUAGGGUUAUGAUUAACUUAGGGUUAGGGUUUUGGUUAGUGUAGGGUUUGCUUCGGCUUUUUUUUAGGGUUUGUGUUUGUUUAUGUUUAGGGUUAGGAUUAUGGUUAGGUUUAGCAUUAACUUAGGGUUAGGUUUAGGGUUAGGGUUAGGGGUAACUUAGGCUUUGUGUUUGGGUUAGGUUUUGGGUUCAGGUGGCGUUACUGUUAGGUUUAUGGUUAGGAUUAGUGUUAGGGGAGGGUUAGGUUUAUGGUUAGGGUUAGGGUUAAGUUUAUGUUUAACUGAGGGUUAGCGUAAUUGUUAGGGUUAGGGUUAACUUAGGGUUACGGUUAACUUAGGGUUGGGGUUAUGGUUAGGGUAGGGUUUACUUCGGCUUAGGGUUAGGAUUUGGGUUAGGGUUAUGUUUAGGGUUAGGAUUAUGUUUAGGUUUAGGGUUAACUUAGGGUUAGGGUUAGGGUUUGGGUUAGGAUAGGGUUAGUGUUACGGUUAAGUUUAUGUUUAGGGUUACAGUAAGGAUUAGUGUUUGGUUUAGGGUUAGGGUUAGGUUUACGGUUAGUGUUAGUGUAAAUGUUAGCGUUAUGGUUAGUUUUUGGAUUAGUGUUAAGAUUAGGUUUAGGUUUAUGUUAGGUUUAUGGUUAGCGUUAGAGUGAAGUUAGGGUUAGGGUUAGAGUUAGGGUUAGGGCUAUGAAAAGGUUUUUCUUUAGGGUUAGGUUUUGAUUUAAGGUUAGGGAUAAGGUUAGAGUUAGGGAUAGGUUUGGGUUCGGUUUAGGUUUAGGGUUAGGGGUAGGGUUAGGGUAAGAUUAGCGUUAGGGUUAGGGUUAGGGUUAACUUAGGGUUAGGGUUAUGGUUAGGUAAAGGGUUAGGAUUUGGUUUAGGUUUAGGGUUAGCAUCAAGGUUAGGGUUAGUGUUAGGUUUAGGGUUAGGUGUAGGGUUAGGGGUAGGGUUAGGGUAAGAUUAGCGUUAGGGUUAGGGUUAGGGUUAACUUAGGGUUAGGGUUAUGGUUAGGUAAAGGGUUAGGAUUUGGUUUAGGUUUAGGGUUAGCAUCAAGGUUAGGGUUAGUGUUAGGUUUAGGGUUAGGUGUAGGGUUAGGUGUAGGUUUAGGGUUAGAAUUUGGGUUAGGUUUAGGGUUAGGGUUAGGUUUAGGGUUAGUUUUAGGGUUUGGGUUAGGGUCAGGGUAAGGUUAGGGUUAGAUUUAGGGAUAGGGUUAGUGUUUAGGUUUGCGUUAUGUUUAGGUUUAGGGUUAGGGUUAAGAUUAGGUUUAGGGUAGUUUUAUGGAUAGGGUUAGAGUGAAGUUUGUGUUGGGGUUAGCGUUAGGGUUAGGAUUAUUCUUAGGGGUAGCGUAGGGGUAAUGUUAGGGUUUGGGUUAGGGUUGGGAUUAGGGUUAGGUUUAUAAUAGGGUUAGGGUUAAGUUUAGGGUUAAUGUACGGUUAGCCUUAGGGUUAGGGUUAUCGGUAAAGUUUAGGGUUUUUGAUAGGGUUAGGGUAGGGUAAGGAUUAGGGUAACGUUUAGGUUAGGGUUAGGUUUAGGGUUGGGUUUAGGCUUAGGUUUGGGGUUAGGGUUAGUAUUAUGUUUAGUUACAUUUAGGGUUACGUUUAGGGUUACAGUUAGGGUUAGGGUUUUGGUAAGUUUUAGGAUUAAGGUUAGGGUUACGUUUUGUAUUGAGAUUAGUGUUAGGUUUAGUGUUUUGUUUAGGGUUAGUGUAAGGGUUUGGGUUAGGUUUAGGGUUAGGGUUAGGGUUAGGGUUUGUUUUGGGCUUAGGGUAAGAGUUAGUGUUAAUGUUAGAAUUAGGUAAGGAUUAGGUUUAGGGUUAGGGUUAGGUUUUCGUUUAGGGUUAGGGUUAGGGUUUGUAUCAGGGUUAAGGUUAGAGUUAGGAAAUGUAGCUUCACCAAUUAGAAAUAAGAUACAAAUAGGAACAGUUAAGGUAGAGAGUGUUAGAGGAUAAAGAUUCCAAGCACUUUCACAUACACUAGGUCUGGAAUAACAAGGAGGAUGAAGGCGAUAAAGAUAAGUACAGGAGAGCAGGUCAAAUAAAUUUGGCAGGUGGGUGAUUAGACGUCUACAGGGGAAGCUGAAACCGGUUCAAGGGAUGCCCCCCUUUGGGAUCAGAAUUUUACAUUGAGGAAGACUACGUGCCUUCAUGAGGAAGUGGCGAGG